rnacentral:rRNA from 1 species
AAUCAACGCUGGCGGCGCGCUUAACACAUGCAAGUCGAACGAGAAAGUUCCCUUCGGGGGGCGAGUAAAGUGGCGGACGGGUGAGUAACACGUGGGUAAUCUGCCCUUGAGUGGGGAAUAACUCUGGGAAACCGGAGCUAAUACCGCAUACGAUCCUUCGGGAUGAAAGCUUUAUGCGCUCAAGGAUGAGCCCGCGGUCGAUUAGCUAGUUGGUGGGGUAAUGGCUCACCAAGGCUACGAUCGAUAGCCGGCCUGAGAGGGCACACGGCCACACUGGCACUGAGACACGGGCCAGACUCCUACGGGAGGCAGCAGUGGGGAAUCUUGGUCAAUGGGGGAAACCCUGAACCAGCGACGCCGCGUGACCGAUGAAGGCCCUCGGGUCGUAAAGGUCUUUCGACGGGGACUAUAAUGAAGGUACCCGUAAAAGCAGGAGCGGCUAACUAUGUGCCAGCAGCCGCGGUAAUACAUAGGCUCCAAGCGUUGUUCGGAAUUACUGGGCGUAAAGCGAGUGUAGGCUGUCCGCCAAGUCGAUUGUGAAAUCUCCCGGCUCAACUGGGAGGGUGCGGUCGAAACUG